rnacentral:rRNA from 1 species
UCAGAGCGAACGCUGGCGGCAGGCCUAACACAUGCAAGUCGAGCGGUCGUAGCAAUACGGCAGCGGCAGACGGGAGAGUAACACGUGGGAACGCGCCCUUCGGUUCGGAAUAACUCAGGGAAACUUGGGGCUAAUACCCGGAUACGCCCUUACGGGGGAAAGAUUUAUUGCCGAAGGAACGGCCCGCGUCCGAUUAGCUUGUUGGUGAGGUAAUGGCUCACCAAGGCGACGAUCGGUAGCUGGUCUGAGAGGAUGACCAGCCUCACUGGGACUGAGACACGGCCCAGACUCCUACGGGAGGCAGCAGUGGGGAAUAUUGGACAAUGGGCGCAAGCCUGAUCCAGCCAUGCCGCGUGGGUGAUGAAGGCCCUAGGGUUGUAAAGCCCUUUCGGCGGGGAAGAUAAUGACGGUACCCGCAGAAGAAGCCCCGGCUAACUUCGUG